UUAAAGACAGCAUUCACAAAUCUGGGCCUCCACAACUUCUGACUGAUUGGCUUCAAGUUGGGGUUCCCAUUACCCCCUCUUUGAGUUUGAUUAAUUUCCUGGAAUGGCUCGCAGAACUCAAGGAAACACUUACAUUAUUGGUUUAUUAUAAAGAAUAUUACAAAAGAUGCAAACGAAAAGAAAUGUAG